CUGGUCAUAAAACUGAGAAAAUCAGCUCAUUAUUUCUUCUCUGCCUAUGUACUCAGAGCUGUGAGACAGCUAAUGCUCUCCAGAGGACUCAGGGAAGGUACCAGCAGGCAACAGCUGUGCAGUAAUGGACAGCGUUCUCCUUGAGUAGAAGCCAUAUGAAAAGCCAUCACGAGGAUGGUGAAGCAGAAAAACAGGAGCUGGCUUCCUCCUGAGUGCCAUAGAGAUAUAAUCCUGCCGAUUCACAGAAAUACUUGAAGAUAUGCAAGCAAACAUUUUUAGGGCCUGUGAGAUGAAACUGAGGCUAAGACAAUAUUAUUAUAAUAUCAAUUUGGAAUCCAUGUGCUGGUGAGGGGUUGUUUUAGAAACAAAAGCUACUGACAUUACUAUUGACUUUUUUUUUAAAUGGAGUAGUUACUAAAAUGUAGACAAAAAUCAAACUUUAGAUGGAGAAUAGGAGUAUAAUCUUGAUUACAAUUAACAAUACAUGUUCUUCAACCAUGCGUAAUAUUCAUAGUACAUAAUGAAAAUUAUUAAUUCUUUAAAUGUGAAGAUUUAAUAUGAUAUUUGAUUAAAACAGGAUGACAUGUUUAUCUUUUAUAAUUUAUUCUAUGUAUGUAGUAUGCUCAUUAUUUAAAUAAAAGACAGGCAAAUGUUAUCAACUGCAGGGAAAUUUAUCUCUGUUGUGCCAUGAACUGUGUCAAUUAGGGAGGUAUUUGGCUCUGAGAAAUAGAAAAAAAUAACAAACAGUGGCUGAAAUAAUUAAUGAGUAUAUUUAUAUUUUACAUGAAAAGAUGUCUGUUGAGAAGCCUUUAAUAUCCAGUAUAUGAGCAUUUUUCAUCUUCCUCUACCACCAACCUUUGAGCUUUAAACUGAACUUUGGGGCUACAAUAUCACUGUUACACCAUUUGAUAUUGAAAUAGUGAGAGAAAAAUAGCAACAACAAGAAGUUCCUCUCCAGUUUCUUUUUUUUUCUUCUAUUUUCUCUGUUCUCUCCUCUCCUUUCCUCUUUCCUUCCCUUCCCCUCCCUUCCGUUCCUCUUUCCUUCCUCUCUUGUUCCUUCCUUCCUCCCUCCCUCACUCCCUUCCUUCCUUCCUUCCUCACUCCCUUCCUCCUUCUGUCUCUCCCUCCUUUCCUUUCCUCCCUCCCUCCCUCCCUCCCUUCCCCUUCCUCCUUCUUCCUUCCUUCCUCACUCCCUUCCUUCUUCCCUCUCUCCCUCCCUUCCUUUCCUACCUCCCUCUCUCCCUCCUUUCCUUUCCUGCAUCCCUCCAUUCUUUCCCCUCCCUCAGUCCCUCUCUUCCUUCCUUCCCUCCUUCCCUCUUUUCUUUUUUACUUUCAUUUGGGAAUGGGAAAACUUUCCCAAGAAUUUCUGCCAUCUCCAAAUCUGUCACUAUAAAUCAAUCCUAAGUUCAAAGGGAGGCUGGAUGCUUUUUUGAGAUGAAGUCUCACCCUGUCGCCCAGGCUGGAGUGCAGUGGUGGGAUCUCGGCUCACUGCAACCUCCUCCUCCCGGGUUCAAGCGAUUCUCCUGCCUCGGCCUCCCAAGGCACGUGCCUCCUACAGGCACACGCCACCACACCCAGCUAAUUUUUGUAUAUAUUUUUUAGUAGCGACGGGAUUUCACCAUAUUGGCCAGGUUGGUCUCGAACUCCUGACCUUGUGAUCCACCCGCCUCAGCCUCCCAAAGUGCUGGAAUUAGAGGCGUGAGCCACCACUCCUGGCCUGCUUUCUAGCUUCUAUAGCAGAACCAGCCAGGGAGAAGGAGGUUGAAAUAGUUGUGGAGGGAGUCAGUUUGCAAUAUUUAUUAUGUGAAUCUCUUAUCAGUCAUAGUUAUAUGCCCAAGUAUUCGACUUCUAUGUUUCAUGCACAGAAACAAAGAAAAAGAAAGUAAAAAUAGUGGGGCUGCAAAUUGAUUUAGCCAGGGCAUUGUUGUCAUCACCAUCCAGCACUAAAUGCUACAGAUUGCUGUGCUUACACUUUGAAAGUUAGCUUGGAUGAUAACAGCCAGUGCUGCCACUGAUGCCCAAGGAUCACUGUCUUAAUCCAAUACAUGAACGUUCUGUUAAAAUAAUUGAUAUGCAGGAAAAAUAUUGGGCAGCCAGACAAAUAUGGCAAAUGCCCACUACAAAUUCUUUUGAGAAUCUCAUGAAAUUCUUGUACUCUGUCAACAGAAAAAAGCAAAAAUACUCAUUCUCAACUUUUGUUGUUGCUGUUGUUAAAUAUGGACAUAUAGAACUUACUCUUGCAAUCUCAGAGCAGUAGAUACAUAAAAAGCACAUUCUAAGAUAUAAUUUUCUUAAACAUUUAGUGAGUAAAUAGUCUGAAGCAACUCUAGUGAAAAUAUCCUUUGUCCUCCUUUUCUCUGGCACCUUGAAGUUCUGGGAGGCAUUCUUACUUUCUUUUCUCAAAAGAUUUCUUAGAUCAAUUUGACUUCUUUUCCUGCCAUUUUAGCACCUUAAUCCCUCUAUCCUUUACAGAUUAAACUCUUUUCUAUAAGCUCUCUUGAUUCAUUGACCCUCCCACAACGCUACUAUUUCAGUAAUAUUCCUUUAAAAAUUGUGGCUUAUUCCUUUUAUUCACAAGACAAAGAAGUGGAGAGGAGGCAAAGAUGAAACACUGCAAUGCUCUAGCAAGAGAUCAGAGAGAUAGCAUUCAUGGAAUUUUAAAAAUAUAUUGAUCAGUGUGUGUACCUAGGUCAAGAGUUACUCAGUUAUACGAUAAGAUAGUAUUAAGAUGUAAGCAUAUUAUAUUAUGCAAUAUUUUUUGCAUACAAAGUACUAUGUAUAAUAUGCAUGUAAGAUCUAAAACAUAUUAAAAUUUACACCUAUUAGCGUACCAUUCAAUUUAAACCUGGAAUAUUAAUGAUAAGUUUGCCAGCACCUGUAUGUUCCUCGAUUUCCCAUUUUCUUGCCUCUAGUUAAAUGUGGUUGUUUAUCAAAAAUUACCUUUCUAUCGUAGUUUUAUCAUAAAUUGCAUAAGUUUUUAUCAAUGUAUUUUUUAUUGUGUUUGAUUUUUAGCCUUUUACAAAUGGCAUCUUACUUUACUCAUCUAGAAUUGACCAUUCUCACACAGCAUUGCAUAUUUUAGGCUCAGUAACGUUGUUUUAGGUGACUGCUGUAUAUUCAUACUUUCUGAUGUAUAAUAAUGCAUUAUGAAUAUCUAUUCCAUUAAUACAGUUAUUCAUUAUCCGACUAAUAAAAAUUUGUUUAUAUGUAUUCAUUAUUCUAAGUAAUACUUCUAAAUACACUCUCACAUAUGCCUUCUGUAUUUGCACAAAAAUGUCUUUACAUUUUUUUUUUUUUUUUGAGACAGAGUCUCGCUCUGUCGCCAGGCUGGUGUCCAGUGGCGCAAUCACGACUCACUGCAACCUCCACCUCCUGGGUUCAAGUGAUUCUCCUGCCUCAGCUUCCUGAGCAGAUGGGACUAUAGGGGUGUGCCACCAUGCCAAGGUAAUUUUUGUAU
rnacentral:lncRNA from 1 species